AACGAACGCUGGCGGCAGGCCUAACACAUGCAAGUCGAACGAACCCCUCGGGGUGAGUGGCGCACGGGUGCGUAACACGUGGGAAUAUACCCUUCAGUAAGGAACAACACAGAGAAAUUUGUGCUAAUACCUUAUAAUAACUCCGGUUCAAAGAUUUAUCGCUGAAGGAUUAGCCCGCGCCUGAUUAGGUAGUUGGUGAGGUAAGAGCUCACCAAGCCGACGAUCAGUAGCUGGUUUGAGAGGAUGAUCAGCCACACUGGAACUGAGACACGGUCCAG
rnacentral:rRNA from 1 species